CAGGGCAGGGGGAGAUGGUGGCCCCAGGAGAAGGUCUGUGUCUUAAAGUGCAUGGAAAACUAGCCAGCCAGGCUGCCUGCAUGGCCUCGAGAGGGGCCAGCACUGGGGUCUCCAUUAACACCUCUGUUCCUCAAGUCUUUCUGUAAAGGGACAGUGAGUUUCUGGCCCCUUUAAUGGGGCAAGAAAAUGAGGCCUGUUGCGUACUCCGAAGUUUCACAUGUGAGGAGACCGAUACAACAAACCCCAAAUUUCCUAAUUAAAAAUCCUUGUGUUUUCUGAGAUGGGGGUUGAAUUCAUCUUAGCACCCUGAGCUGACGGCCCAGGGCUCCACGCUUCAUGGGGUCACCUUAAAAAGAUCACGAGGCUUUUAAGUGAAGAAAAUAAUUAAUUACUUCAUAUAGUAGUACACAGGACUGUGCCAUGCUCUCUAUAAAUAUCGUGGAAACUCAUCAUGUAUCCCAAAUAAUUUGGUGUAGCAAAGGGAUAGCAUUCCUACCAUUCUGGUGUUUUAAAAGCAGUUUGGUCAUCUCUUCAAGGUUUUCUCGCAAGAGUUGGAGGUGCUGAAAUAAGCUGUGUGGAAGUUUUUCGGCUCUCUGUUGUGAAUGUGACUCAGCGACUCAGGCCGCUGCUGUCGGUGCCGGCACGUGGUUUACAAAGUCGGACGCGUGUUGGCAAUGUCAGCAGAAGGCCAAAGGCUCAGUGUGGUUUACUGGGGUGAGGAGGUUUGUGAAGCCAUGAUCCCUGCUCCCCUCCACCCCCAGGGCAGAAGCUGUGGUCUGAAUCACAGCCAAACCAGGGCUGCCCCCGGCUCUGAGGUUAGACCACUGCCUCGUCACUUGGCAGGCAGGAGAUUCAGUCUCUGGGGUCGUCAGCCCAGCACGAGGGGUUGGAUUGGGUACAGUGUAAUCCUCCCUCUUCUCCUGUUUACUCACCCCAGGCCUUUUCCAGCAAGGGUGGCAAUUCCUGGAGCAAAUGAGACCACUUAUUAUGGUGGAGCAGAGACGAGUGGACCCGGAGCACCGAGGGCCUCAUGCUUGUGAGCUGCUGAGUAAUACAGAACUUGCUUUUCCUGGGAUAAUCCAUAGGGAUGGAUGUUGGGCAAUGAAAAUGCAAAGGGGAGCCAGGAUCGUGUGAUUGUGUUGGACCAGGAGAAGGAAAGGGAUCCGCACGGCCCUGCCAGCCCUCCUUGUCUGUCUGGGGCAGAAUGAACAGGCUUGCAGGGCUUGUGGGCGUUUGAGCUGUGCCCUGGCCCUCACUGUUUCCUCUGAAGGAAGAUGAGCGUAGCAGAGGAGGAAUUUCACCGGUCCAGGGGACUUGCACAGGGAGAGGGCAAGUUUCACUCUUUUGGUGGAAAGGCAAUGACACUGGUGAGUCUGUGCAGCUGGUUAGUUAUUUCCCCACUUGGAACAUCAGGGAGACACAGAGCUCUAACUGUUAAUGACAGAGUCGAGAACCUUUCUGUGUUUUUUUGUGUGGUUUUUGAAGGUGUUGAGUGACCAAAAGCUGCCCUGGCAGGAAAAGCCAUUUUUCCUUACCUCCUUGAAACAUAGAAGUCUCCACAAUUUUCAUUUUACCUUGUCCUGGUUUCAGCUGGGAUAGAAUUAAUUUUCUCCAUGGUAGCUAAUGCGGGGCUAUGGUUUGGAUUUGUGCUGGAAACAGUGUUGAUAAUGCGAAGAUGUUUUAGUUGUUGCUGAGCAGGGUUUACACUAGUCGAAGGCUUUUUCAGCUUCCCGUGCUCUGCCAGGUGCACAAGGAGCUGGGAGGGGUCACGGCCAGGACAGCUGACCCCAACUGACCCCAGGGAUGUCCCACACUGUAUGACGUCAUGCUCAUAUAAAUAUAUUCCCUCAUAUAAAGCUGGGGGAAGAAGAAGGAAGGGGGGGACAUUGGCAGGGAUGGCGUUUCCCUGCCCCAGGCACUGUUAGGCAGGAUGGAGCCCUGCUGCCCUGGGGAUGGCUGAGCCCCGCCUGCCCGUGGGGAGGGGUGAAGGAAUUCCUUGUUUUGCUUUGCUUGUGUGCGUGGGUUUUG